rnacentral:misc_RNA from 1 species
UGGCCACUUCUUGAACCUGUGUGUCUGC